rnacentral:rRNA from 1 species
GAUGAACGCUGGCGGCGCGCCUAAUACAUGCAAGUCGAGCGAACAGACGAGGAGCUUGCUCCUCUGACGUUAGCGGCGGACAGGUGAGUAACACGUGGAUAACCUACCUAUAAGACUGGGAUAACUUCGGGAAACCGGAGCUAAUACCGGAUAAUAUAUUGAACCGCAUGGUUCAAUAGUGAAAGACGGUUUUGCUGUCACUUAUAGAUGGAUCCGCGCCGCAUUAGCUAGUUGGUAAGGUAACGGCUUACCAAGGCAACGAUGCGUAGCCGACCUGAGAGGGUGAUCGGCCACACUGGAACUGAGACACGGUCCAGACUCCUACGGGAGGCAGCAGUAGGGAAUCUUCCGCAAUGGGCGAAAGCCUGACGGAGCAACGCCGCGUGAGUGAUGAAGGUCUUCGGAUCGUAAAACUCUGUUAUUAGGGAAGAACAAAUGUGUAAGUAACUAUGCACGUCUUGACGGUACCUAAUCAGAAAGCCACGGCUAACUACGUG